GAUGAUGGUAAAGCAUAUACAGCCACUAUGGAGGAAAGAAGAGUGAACACGGAGAUCAUUCAUAGCAGUAAUUCUCCUGAUUCUUUUUUAGUGAUUCUGCACCUGACCGCUUCCCAGUGGGGGGGUGCCUCCAACACCAGAAGUAGGCUGCAAGACCAGUGUAUGAUGUGUUAUUUAUGGCUGAAGGCUUGAAGACCAUUGAGAAGACUUCUGCCUCCAGCGCAGCACAGGGAACUCUACUCAAUGCUCGGUGGUGACCUCAAUGGGAAGGAAAUCCAAAAUUACGCCGAUUCUUAAGCCGAAGAGCUGAUCCGGAGGAACUGCAGACAAAGUAAAGAAUAGGGAUGUAUUAUUUUCCUAAACCCCUGGACCUCAAUCCUGUUCGGGUAUCGAAGUUGCUGCUCAGCAUCUUUCAAAGGAGGAAAUCAGAAUCCUGGCAGAAAAAAGAAGAAAUCAAACCACAUCAUCUGAAGGGAGAAGGAAUGGAUCAAGUUCUGAUACGGGUUCUCUGUUGACAGCUAGGCCAUCAUUUGUGCGUUCAUUCAUGCAGUCUGUCAACAGCAGUAGGACAAACAAAACAGUGCUCUGGCCGAACACUUCUCCAGGCUCUGGGGCUACAGAGGAGAGCAAAACAGAUGAAAGUCUGUUUAUAAAUUUGGAAAUAUCUACCACGUGGCAAAAAAAAAAAAAAAAAAAAAGUCUCUGAUUGAUGUACCAUCCAGCACUGGGAGGAACAGAAUUCCUGACACAUUGCCUGCACCUACAAGUCUGUUCUGGGUCAGGGGUCGUAGCUAGUGGUUCAGUGUAUUUUCCCACUGUUAACUCCAGAACCCACCCACAGGCUCAUCAGCGUCAGGACCCCUGCUUGAUGUCUUUUGGAAGUGAUGGCACACAUUUCGUGGUGGGAAGGGGCAAAGAUGACAGGCCUUGGACAGAAAGAAAACUCACCUGUCAGUUGGCAUUUGCAGUGCUGUCUGCUGCACUCGCCAAACUUAAGGCAGGGCCUGGGGGAAUUUAAGGGCCUGCCGUGCCUUCUGAGAGCAGACUUCACAGAAUGCCCUGGACCUCUGCUGUUAUGGCAGUGAGUCAGGGAGCACGAGGUGGGGAAACAGCUGGGGUGAAAGCAGAGAGAGGAUAAAUUAGUGCAGGAAGCAGCAGGCCAAAGUUUCCAGAGGAGCUGCUACCGCUGCCUGCUGCUUUGAAGUGAAAGAAAGCAGACAAGAGUCAGAUGGUUCAAAGGAACCCAGAGGUGAGAGAAGAAACAGUCUCAGGAGCUUCAGCACCAAAGUAGGUUUUCAUUCUGGAUGACCCAAUCCAGAUUUAGAGUCAACCAGAUCACACACUUACACACACACCUCUCUCUAUCUGUUAUCUGUCAAUCUAUUAUCUAUCUAUCUAUCUAUGAAAAGACAAAGUCAAACCCACAUUGUCUGGAACAAGAAGAAAUGGGUCAAAUCCUGGAAGCUGUUCCUUUGGUAUACAGGCUGGAAUUAAGAGAUUCAUUUUUCUGCCAACAAACAUGAAGUGCUGCAUGUCAAUAAAUACACACACACACGGAUAUAUCACUUUUCAGUAUGAGGUCAGAGGAACACACAUACACACACACACACACACACAUUCAUAAAGACCUGAGGUCACUCCUGAGACCCAAGUGAAAAGUUAGGUUUUACCUAAUUUGGGUUUUAAACUCAAGGCUACUAGCCAGAUUAAGCAGAAGGGUGGAGGGACACUGCACCCAGGAAUGAAGACAUUUCACAGGCUCAUCUCCUGGGGGUGUUGCGAUUUGUUAGCAGGAAACACGCUUGCGGCUUGUGAUCUAAGGCAAUUUGGGGAAAAUAUACAAAAUGUACGGAAGGACUUCUGAUAAUGAUAGAAAAAACUGUUGGAAGAUCAUGAGUAAGCAUGCUGAAUGGGGGUUUUCAUUAUUGUUAAGGACUAUUUUGCAUAAGAACUUUAAAUUUAGCGUAUUCACAGUACUUUAUAACAGAUUUAAGGUAAGAAAUUUGGUUUAAUUGCUUUCCAUACUGCUACUCCUUCCCAACAUACUCCUUAUCCAGAGUUUCACACUUUGAAUGGGAUCCCUGGACUUAACCUAAAAAUGCGACAUUGGCUUAGCAGUCAGGCUGUGAAGGGAGGGUACAUGUGUGCAGGCUGGAAAGCUGGUGACCCU